rnacentral:rRNA from 1 species
AUUGAACGCUGGCGGCAUGCCUUACACAUGCAAGUCGAACGGCAGCGCGGGAGCAAUCCUGGCGGCGAGUGGCGAACGGGUGAGUAAUACAUCGGAACGUGCCCAAUCGUGGGGGAUAACGCAGCGAAAGCUGUGCUAAUACCGCAUACGAUCUACGGAUGAAAGCAGGGGAUCGCAAGACCUUGCGCGAAUGGAGCGGCCGAUGGCAGAUUAGGUAGUUGGUGAGGUAAAGGCUCACCAAGCCUUCGAUCUGUAGCUGGUCUGAGAGGACGACCAGCCACACUGGGACUGAGACACGGCCCAGACUCCUACGGGAGGCAGCAGUGGGGAACUUUGGACAAUGGGCGAAAGCCUGAUCCAGCCAUGCCGCGUGCAGGAUGAAGGCCUUCGGGUUGUAAACUGCUUUUGUACGGAACGAAACGGUCUUUUCUAAUAAAGAAGGCUAAUGACGGUACCGUAAGAAUAAGCACCGGCUAACUACGUG